AACCUUUAGCAAAACAAGUAUUAAAGGCAACGCCUGCCCGGUGAACAAUUAAACGGCCGCGGUAUCCUAACCGUGCAAAGGUAGCGUAAUCAUUUGUCUAUUAAUUGUAGACCUGUAUGAAAGGCAAAAUGAGGGCCUAACUGUCUCUUAUAAUAAAUCAAUUAAACUGAUCUCCCAGUAAAAAAGCUGGGAUACCCACAUAAGACAAGAAGACCCUGUGAAGCUUAAACUAACCUAUUAAACCAAAUAAUAGCUCCUUUCGGUUGGGGCGACCUUGGAAACAAAAAGAACUUCCAAAAAGUGACCUCAUAUCACACCAAGGCUUACAAGCCACAAUAUACGAUCCAGCCACGCUGAAAAAUGAACCAAGUUACUCCAGGGAUAACAGCGCCAUCUUCUUCAAGAGCCCAUAUCAAAAAGAAGGUUUACGACCUCGAUGUUGGAUCAGGACAUCCUAUUGGUGCAGCCGCUAUUAAAGGUUCGUUUGUUCAACGAUUAACAGUCCU
rnacentral:rRNA from 1 species